rnacentral:lncRNA from 1 species
AGACAGUUGCCUAUCAACAGGAAAAGAGGCAAAAUAAGUGAUACCCUUUUCUUCAAAGGUUUAACCCCCUAAUGCAUUAAGCCCAAUGCAUCCUCCCUAAAAAGACAAAAAAAGGUAUAUUUAACUAGUUUUAGCUUAUUUGUGAUCUGGCUCCCAGGCAUGCUCAAAUAUAUUGGCACUAUUUUACUAAGUAUAAAGGCAUUUUACCCCCACCCUCACCCCCGCACACACAUGCACACCCUUUAUAAUCUGCACACAGUUGAUCUAUAAUGUAUAGACAAAUGGCCUUUUGAAGUGUUAGUGAGGCUGUCUUGCAUUGACACCAGCCCCACAGAGGAUGCCCCAGUCACCUUCAAAUGCUGGGCAUCAGGCAUGGGGAACCGUUUGCCAACCUCAGAAGUAGUCUGGGAAUAGUGAGUUCCAGAAAAUGGGUGGAGUGUUCCAUUUCUGUGUUUGGGUUGGAGGCUUAUUAUUUAUUUGGCUUAUUUAUUUACUAUCUUUGAUUCCUCUACAUAAAGGCAAAGCGCUUUGAAGAGCUCACCACACACACCUUUAUGGUUCUCUUUAAAGAAGCCUCACCGAAGUGUCAAUGGACACCUGGCACCUGCCGCCUUUGCUUGGAAACUGAGAAGUUCUGUUGUGCUGCAGUGUUUGCUGAGGCUAUCACAGCAGAAGGAAUGCUGAUUCUGUCCCUUUUAACCCCUGUGUGAAACUGACUUUCAUACACUGUGCA